AUUUGGAGUAAAACUUAGAAAGACCCAGAACUUCUUUUCUCCCUCUCUCUACUCGCCUGUCUGUUCCUCCUCUUGGAACAGCAGCACGUCUUCACUUCUCUCUAAAAAUCUUGCAUCAAAACUUCCUAAAACUUACAUGCAAACUAAUAUCUAAGUACUUUAGCUUGUUAUAGAUAGCAAUUUAUACAAGCCAAAGAUCCAAGGAAGCUAAUCUAAAACCAGGAAAGAAGAAGGUCAGUGAGGUAGUAGAAAAUACAGAAGGUAAGCAAGAGUUCAAGGAGGAUUAAGUAUAAGAAACUUGCAAAGAAGGCAAGUCCCCACAUUUGCAGGAUUAAGGAGAAAAGGUGGGAGGAUCAUUUUCAUUGUCUAAGCUUAUGGAUGAAGUAGUAGUAAUAAGAAGAACAGAAGCGGGUCACCUAAACUACUUUAUCUAAAUAAUUAAUUUUGUUAAUAUCAGCUAUGUAAAUUAAUUAAAUUGGGAAUUUAGUUUAAAUCCUCUAGUAUAGGAUGUAAUAAUUUAGUAACUACUUUUGUUGAUAUUGAUUAGAGUAAGUAUGAUAUCAUGAAGCUACCUCUCUAGUAGUUGGAGGUAGUCCA